rnacentral:lncRNA from 1 species
ACCAAAGCUGGCAUCCUUAUCAACUCCACCCAACCAAAGCUGGCAUCCUUUUUUUCUCUGAGCCCAGGUGGGCAGCCACGUUGCUAGUCGGCUCUCUCUGGGGCCUCUCAUCCCCUUAACUAGAGACCAAUAGCACCUUGGAGAGUAUGGGUCUUGCUUUAGAGUCCUGUUGAGUUCUUCCCUUGGUGGCCAAUUUAAAGUAGCUACAUUCAAAUUUUAUUUAUUUUUUUGACCAACACCACAGUGCUCCAGGUGCCAGCAGAGAUGAGUUUUAUCCUUGCUACAAGCUUCUGGUCUUCGAUAUCCAACUGAAACAGAGUUUAAGGAGUUUUGGAAAGAAAAAUGGUGGCGAUUUUCACUUCAUCUCUGCUCGACGUCUGUCUGAAGACCCUGCAGCUAAAGAGGGAAAGACUGAAUAUUAGAUGGGGGCAGUGGAAGUAUCACUUUAAAUCACAGACUUGUGUCCUCCAAACCUAAAUAUGGACACAGCAAAGAGGAAAAACAAAACCCAGCAGAAAAGGAAAAGUUGAUAAGGAUAAAAAGAAUUAGAGAAAAAUGUGGGGGGCACGUGUUGAUAGAGAAAAGAAGUUAAAUGACCACACUUGCCACUUUCUGGUGUAUCCAGUGGGAUCUGCAGAAUUUCACACGGGU